rnacentral:rRNA from 1 species
UACGUAGGGUCCGAGCGUUGUCCGGAAUUACUGGGCGUAAAGAGCUCGUAGGUGGUUUGUCGCGUUGUUCGUGAAAACUCACAGCUCAACUGUGGGCGUGCGGGCGAUACGGGCAGACUAGAGUACUGCAGGGGAGACUGGAAUUCCUGGUGUAGCGGUGGAAUGCGCAGAUAUCAGGAGGGACACCGGUGGCGAAGGCGGGUCUCUGGGCAGUAACUGACGCUGAGGAGCGAAAGCGUGGGGAGCGAACAGG